ensembl:lncRNA
GCCGCGUACUGUGUGGAGCUUCGUGUGCGCUUUAUCGACAAUAAAGUUACAUUUGACGCCUUCAUUAUUUCACCAACGAAGGUACCUGAUGGAAAAUAGCCGAUUGAAUAGAGACCUGAGGCCAUGUUUCAGAUGAUUCUACUGAGAUGGGCUUUUCCUCUAGGUGAUUCUGAUCUAGACGGGUCCUGUGGAAGUGAAGAAAGUGGUAGAGGAGGAGAAGCAGGAGACUUAUCAUUCUGACUCUAUUCUGGAUCUAUGGACUGUAGACAAACCCCAUUUGUCUUACGUCAGACAGUGCGACUCAUUCCACAUUUGUUUGAACUAACGUCGUACAGGAGGAGUUUUGCGUAGGAGUGACGCCACCUGUUGGACUCAGAAAAGAAGACAAUGGCCGUGUGUGUGUGUCAGUGGUGUCCGGCUGGCUCUGCUGUCGUCUAGGCUCUGAUGGCAGAUGUUCCCUCUGGACUACUGGAGGCUUGUGUGGUGGUUGGAGCAGUCAGCAGUACACUCAGGGAACUCUAUCAGUCACACCAGCAGGGUCAAAUCAAAGAGCUCCCCC